UCUUGGUGAAUCAUAAUAACUUAACGAAUCGCAUGGCCUUGCGCCGGCGAUGGUUCAUUCAAAUUUCUGCCCUAUCAACUUUCGAUGGUAGGAUAGUGGCCUACCAUGGUGGCAAAGGGUAACGGGGAAUUAGGGUUCGAUUCCGGAGAGGGAGCCUGAGAAACGGCUACCACAUCCAAGGAAGGCAGCAGGCGCGCAAAUUACCCAAUCCCGAUACGGGGAGGUAGUGACAAUAAAUACUGAUACGGGGCUCUUUUGGGUCUCGUAAUUGGAAUGAGAACAAUUUAAAUCCCUUAACGAGGAACAAUUGGAGGGCAAGUCUGGUGCCAGCAGCCGCGGUAAUUCCAGCUCCAAUAGCGUAUAUUAAAGUUGUUGCAGUUAAAAAGCUCGUAGUUGAACCUUGGGUCUGGCUGGCCGGUCCGCCUCACCGCGAGUACUGGUCCGGCUGGACCUUUCCUUCUGGGGAACCUCAUGGCCUUCACUGGCUGUGGGGGGAACCAGGACUUUU
rnacentral:rRNA from 1 species